rnacentral:rRNA from 1 species
UACGGGGGGGGUAAGCGUUGUUCGGAAUUACUGGGCGUAAAGGGCUCGUAGGCGGCCAACUAAGUCAGACGUGAAAUCCCUCAGCUUAACUGGGGAACUGCGUCUGAUACUGGAUGGCUUGGAUUCGGGAGAGGAAUGCGGAAUUCCAGGUGUAGCGGUGAAAUGCGUAGAUAUCUGGAGGAACACCGGUGGCGAAGGCGGCAUCCUGGACCAAAACUGACGCUGAAUAGCGAAAGCCAGGGGAGCAAACGGG